UAGUUCUACAUUUAGUUUAUGGACACAUAAAUUCUUAGAAAUUUCUUCCUAGGUUCUCCGUCCGCCUCCGCCUCCGGCUCUGGCUCUGGCUCUGUCUGUCUCCCGCCAAAAUUUCAACAUCCAUCUCUCCUCUCCUGUCCUUCGUAACUCUUCCCAUAACCUCCAUUCUCCUGCUCUUUCCAUCACAGUCCCCUCUCAAAACCCAUCUCAAGAAACCCCCCCAGCCACUGCCCUCCCUCACCAGAAUUUUGUCUACCCUGACCUCAUCCCUGAAUCUGCAAAGAUGAGACCCAGAUGCUUUUAGGGGUCAUCUCUCCAAGAACUUGUCCAAUUAGAAGUAAUUAAGGAAACAUUUGGUAAUGCCCUUGACAAAGUAGUUUAUGUUUUCUCGGAGAUAUUUAGCAAUUUCUUUCUCAAGGAGCAUGGCGGACUUGGACCACUAUUGAUGGAGCCAUUCACUGAUAUGCACUGUUGCCCUCAAGGAGAGGAAAUUACCUGGUGCACCUUUUGCAGCAAGGGAAUCCUUAUUAUGAUCUCUAAAGUCUAAACUAUGUUGAAGAGAACUGGAAAGUUUGGACCUCAACCCUACAUGAUUGUCUUCUUUUUACUAUUAUUUGAUACUUUAAUGUUAUACUAUUCUAGUUCCUGAUCAAUCAUAAGCUUGCAGAAUAUGAAGGCAAGAAAAUAGUACUCGUAAAAUAAUGUUAGAUCCAUGCUACCCUUGUAGCUAUACAGAUUUGUUAUUACUUGAAAAUGGUUUGAAA